AGAGUUUGAUCAUGGCUCAGAACGUACGCUGGCGGCACGCCUUAUACAUGCAAGUCGAACGAAGUAGCAAUACUUAGUGGCAGACGGGUGAGUAACAUGUAGGUAUCUACCCUUUGGUGAGGAAUAACACGAGGAAACUUGUGCUAAUACCUCAUAAGUCUUUACGGAGAAAGCUUUAUGCGCCGAAGGAUGAGCCUGCACUUGAUUAGUUUGUUGGUGGGGUAAUGGCCUACCAAGACUUUGAUCUAUAGCUGAUCUGAGAGGAUGAUCAGCCACAUUGGGACUGAGACACGGCCCAAACUCCUACGGGAGGCAGCAGUAGGGAAUAUUGCACAAUGGAGGAAACUCUGAUGCAGCGAUGCCGCGUGAGUGAAGAAGGCCUUUGGGUUGUAAAGCUCUUUCGUCGGGGAAGAAAAUGACUGUACCCGAAUAAGAAGGUCCGGCUAACUUCGUGCCAGCAGCCGCGGUAAUACGAAGGGACCUAGCGUAGUUCGGAAUUACUGGGCUUAAAGAGUUCGUAGGUGGUUAAAAAAGUUGGUGGUGAAAUCCCAGAGCUUAACUCUGGAACUGCCAUCAAAACUUUUUAGCUAGAGUAUGAUAGAGGAAAGCAGAAUUUCUAGUGUAGAGGUGAAAUUCGUAGAUAUUAGAAAGAAUACCAAUUGCGAAGGCAGCUUUCUGGAUCAUUACUGACGCUGAGGAACGAAAGCAUGGGUAGCGAAGAGGAUUAGAUACCCUCGUAGUCCAUGCCGUAAACGAUGUGUGUUAGACGUUGGAAAUUUAUUUCCAGUGUCGCAGCGAAAGCGUUAAACACACCGCCUGGGGAGUACGACCGCAAGGUUAAAACUCAAAUGAAUUGACGGGGACCCGCACAAGUAGUGGAGCAUGU
rnacentral:rRNA from 1 species